GACGUAGGGCGCGAGCGUUGUCCGGAUUUAUUGGGCGUAAAGAGCUCGUAGGUGGCUUGUUGCGUCGACCGUGAAAACCCGGGGCUCAACUUCGGGCUUGCGGUCGAUACGGGCGGGCUAGAGUUCGGUAGGGGAGACUGGAAUUCCUGGUGUAGCGGUGAAAUGCGCAGAUAUCAGGAGGAACACCGAUGGCGAAGGCAGGUCUCUGGGCAUUAACUGACGCUGAGGAGCGAAAGCAUGGGGAGCGAACAGG
rnacentral:rRNA from 1 species